UACGUAGGGUGCAAGCGUUGUCCGGAAUUAUUGGGCGUAAAGAGCUCGUAGGCGUUCUGUCGCGUCUGCUGUGAAAACUCAGGGCUUAACCCUGAGCUUGCAGUGGGUACGGGCAGACUAGAGUGCGGUAGGGGAGACUGGAAUUCCUGGUGUAGCGGUGAAAUGCGCAGAUAUCAGGAGGAACACCGGUGGCGAAGGCGGGUCUCUGGGCCGUAACUGACGCUGAGGAGCGAAAGCGUGGGGAGCGAACAGG
rnacentral:rRNA from 1 species